CCUACGGGGGGCAGCAGUGAGGAAUAUUGGUCAAUGGACGAGAGUCUGAACCAGCCAAGUAGCGUGAAGGAUGACGGCCCUAUGGGUUGUAAACUUCUUUUAUAAGGGAAUAAAACGAGGCACGUGUGCCUUUUUGCAUGUACUGCAUGAAUCAGGAUCGGCUAAUUCCGUGCCAGCAGCCGCGGUAAUACGGAGGGUCCGAGCGUUAUCCGGAUUUAUUGGGUGUAAAGGGAGCGUAGAUGGGUUGUUAAGCCAGUUGUGAAAUGUUGCGGCUCAACCGUGGAAUUGCAAUUGAUACUGGGGAGCUUGAGUACAGUUGAGGUAGGCGGAAUUCGUGGUGUAGCGGUGAAAUGCGUAGAUAUCACGAAGAACCCCGAUGGCGAAGGCAGCUUACUGAACUGUGACUGACGUUGAGGCUCGAAAGUGCGGGUAUCAAACAGGAUUAGAUACCCUUGUAGUC
rnacentral:rRNA from 1 species